CAGUGAAGUGGCAGGUGGUGCUGCAGCAUGGUGUGAAAACCGCCCUUCAUGACCCCGGAGCUCAAAACAGGCUACAAGUAGAGAUGUCUGUGUGAAGAGUCGGAGCCGACGAUUCGACGGCGGAGUGGGGCACGCUGCAGCCCUGCCCAAGAUGGGGGCAAGGAGGUGGAGGAUGCGGCUGAGCGGUGAGGCGCAGCGUGCCGGGAGCGACGCCGCAAUAUAAUUCAGAUGACGGCUUGCUCAAUAAAGGACCAGUGGACCCAAGGAUCGGCGCGGGAACUUAGUUCUCUAUCGGAUAUCUGUUUCCCUUCCGUUGCCCCGGAUCUGGACUGCCACCCUCGUUUCCCGACUCCUCGCUCACCCCUGGAAUAUGACGACUCGCUCCUGCCUAUCGACCCUGUUUCCUCCCCUGAACAAUCCUGCCUGCCUUGCCCUUGUCUGACAGCACCGCGUCUUCAACACUUAUGAGUCGCUCUCAUCAGUACUGACCAACUGCAUUUCUGUCUGGACUGGAGCCUGCAGUGCCUCAGACUGGAAGUCUCUUCAGAGAGUGGUGAGGACGGCGGAAAAGAUCUAAGGACUCCUCUUCCUCCUAUCCAGGAGAUGGCAAAAAGCCGCUGCCUGACCAGGGCUCAGAAAAUCUGCAGAGACUCCUCUCAUCCCCACCAAGGACUGUUUUCACUGUUGGACUAUAGAAAGAGGUUCCGUAGCCUCCAUGGCAGAACCUCCAAGUUCUGUAACAGCUUCUUCCCUCAGGCCAUAAAUAAGACUCUUGAACACAUAAUAAUCUCCUCAAUUCUCCCCAAAAAUGGAUUAACUAGCUUGAAUAUAAAUACAAUAUAACAUAAAUCCAUAAACCUGGAUGCAUAUGCAAAAGUGCAAUAUAUGUAUCUGUAUAGUAAUCUGGGCUUCACGGUGGAAGAGGGGUUAGUGCGUCUGCCUCACAAUACGAAGGUCCUGAGUGGUCAGGGUUCAAUCCCGGGGUCAGGUACUUUCUGUGUGGAGUUUGCAUGUCCUCCCCGUGAAUGCUUGGGUUCCCUCUGGAUACUCCGGCUUCAUCCCACUUCCAAAGACAUGCACCUGGGGAUAAGUUGAUUGGCAACACUAAAUUGGCCCUAGUGUGUGAAUGUGAGUGUGAAUGUUGUCUGUCUAUCUGUGUUGGCCCUGCGAUGAGGUGGCGACUUGUCCAGGGUGUACCCUGCCUUCCGCACGAAUGCAGCUGGGAUAGGCUUCAUCAAUCCCCCCCCCCCGCGACCCAGAAAGGGACAAGUUGUAGAAAAUGGAUAAAUGUGAGUGGCCCUGCGAGGAGGUGGCCUUUUAAUGAAAAAUGGACGGUUUUAUGAUUAUUUUCUUUUAAUCAUAUUCUGGACACUUUAUGUUGAAUUUGUUGGCACUUUUGCGCAAAAACAACAACAUUCUUUUGUUUAAACAAACCAAAUGUCAGGAGGGUUAUCUAGAUAUGUUCAAGACAUGUUAUUUACAUGUGUUUUAAAAUGAUAGUUUCAACCAAAUCCAUGCAAUAAUUGGUUGUGUGUAUGGGGGUAGCGUUCUUGGGUUUAGGGUGAGAUGGGGGAA